rnacentral:rRNA from 1 species
UACGGGGGGGGGCAAGCGUUGUUCGGAAUUACUGGGCGUAAAGGGCUCGUAGGCGGCCAACUAAGUCGGACGUGAAAUCCCUCGGCUUAACCGGGGAACUGCGUCCGAUACUGGAUGGCUUGAGUUUGGGAGAGGGAUGCGGAAUUCCAGGUGUAGCGGUGAAAUGCGUAGAUAUCUGGAGGAACACCGGUGGCGAAGGCGGCAUCCUGGACCAACACUGACGCUGAUGAGCGAAAGCCAGGGGAGCAAACGGG